rnacentral:lncRNA from 1 species
AUUAUCCUUGUUUAUUUCUAUUCAACCUAGUGUGGCCACAGAUCCACCUUUACAUUCUGAUUUCAGCAACUCUAAUCUUCUGCAUAUGUUGUUUCUAGGUCGCCGACAUUCAACCCUAUAUUAUUUUUAUUUCCCUUUUUUGGGCGGAGGGAUGUGGUUUUGAAACUUUUAAGUCGGCGCUAAACAUAUAGUUAGAAUAUCUAAUUUUCUCCAAGGUUAUGGUUGGGUUAAGGCUAGGAAAAUAAAUAUUAAAUUUUUUGGCUUUCAAACAUGAUAGCUUCCAUUUUAUAAUGCCAAAUUUUAUUGGUAGGAAGCUUCCAUGUGUAUGUCCUAUCCAUAGUUGUUAUGGCGUCGCCUAGGCGACGCCUUGGCGUCCCGGCGAUAAAGAAAGUCCAAGGCGUACGACGACUUAAGUCAGUGCUUCCAAGGCGACCGCCUAGGCAGCUCGGCGUCUCACGGCAUCGCCUAAGCGACGCCAUAAGACGCCGAGCUGCCUAGGCGGUCGCCUUGGAAGCACUGACCCAACUGAUUUUUAUGGGCUAACCCAUGACCCAUCAAAUAAAAAACAAGAAAAAACCCUUACUUGCAGAAAAAAUAGGAGAAGUCGAUUGCGAAUCGCGAAGAAGACCCAUCGCGAACUAGGAUCUGACGAACUCCAUCCUCUGCAGUCCCAACUUCGCAGCCCAUCAUCGCAGUGAGAGCGAGAGGCGACUUCGACUUCGCAGCCCAUCAUCGCAGCGAGAGGCGACGACUAUGGCUACGACGCUUCCGACCAACCAGCUUCGUGCCUCCGACGACGACGUUCUUCUUCUCUUCUCUUCUCCUCUGUUUCUGGACUUCUCUUCUCUUUCUCCUCUGACUGAUUCUCUUCUCUUUCUCCUCUGUUUCUUUUUUUCCCCUAGUUUUUCU